rnacentral:rRNA from 1 species
UGGGCAAUUCUAGUUCCUCUCUCUGGGAUAAACCCCGGGAAAACCGGAGCUAAUACCGGAUACUCCGGCUGGAUCGCAUGGUCCGGCCGGGAAAGGUCCGCCGGAGAGGGAUGGGCCCGCGGCCUAUCAGCUUGUUGGUGGGGUAACGGCCUACCAAGGCGACGACGGGUAGCUGGUCUGAGAGGACGACCAGCCACACUGGAACUGAGAUACGGUCCAGACUCCUACGGGAGGCA